UACGAAGGGUGCAAGCGUUACUCGGAAUUACUGGGCGUAAAGCGUGCGUAGGUGGUUUGUUAAGUCUGUUGUGAAAGCCCCGGGCUCAACCUGGGAAUGGCAAUGGAUACUGGCAAGCUAGAGUGCGGUAGGGGGUAGUGGAAUUCCCGGUGUAGCGGUGAAAUGCGUAGAGUAUCGGGAGGAACACCUGUGGCGAAAGGCGGCUACCUGGACCAGCACUGACACGCAUGGACGCGAAGGCGAAG
rnacentral:rRNA from 1 species